rnacentral:pre_miRNA from 1 species
GUAGUGCUCCCUCCGUUCGGAAUUACUUGUCACAAAAAUGGAUGUAUCUACAACUAAAAUACAUCUAGAUACAUUCAUUUCUUGGACGAGUAAUUCUGAACGGAGGGAGUAUGUA